rnacentral:tRNA from 1 species
AGGGUUGUAGUGAAAUGGAAUCACAACAGUCUCCAGAACUGUUAUUCUCCGUUCGAAUCGGAGCAACCCUG